UGAUGACAAUCUCCGGAAUCUCUGUAUUGUCUUGAUGAAUGCAUUGAACCCUUUUUAUCUGAUGACUGUUCCUAAAUC